rnacentral:lncRNA from 1 species
GCUCCAGCUCUUUCUCAGGGUGGGGACCCAGAGGCCCUGUCUGAACUGAGGAGUACAGGACCUAGAAACCAGCCUGGUGAACACUGGCAUGGAGCUCCAGCCUGUGGGUGUGGGCUGAGGGGCUGGUGAUCCUGGCACGCUGUGGGAUGCUGCUGAAACCUCCUCAGUGUCUUGUCACUGGGUCUGGAGGUUGCUGUGGAGGGUUGGGGGUGUUUGUCACCUGACACCUGAUGGGAAGUCUGAGCUGAAAGUGGCAGCCUCACCCUUGUGCUGGGCUUGGCACUGCCUCAGUGUCUCUUGGACACUGAAAACUUGGACAUCCUGAAAACUCUUCCCUCUUUCUUGCUUGCCAGCCCCCUUCCCUCUCCCAGUUACAUCUGAGAGACAUAUCUGACCUGAGCCUUCAAACCAGCUGCCUUUGCUCAGCAUUUAUUCUUUCAAGAAAUAGUUGUUGGGGACCUAUGACACGCGAGGCACUGGGAUACAGCCGUGAGGGAGGCAGAGUCCCUGCAUUGUGACAAGGAAGUGGGUCAUUAAGAGAGGGUGUCACUUUAGGGGUAGGUGCAGGGUGUGCACGGGGAGCUCAUAAUACCUGGGAGGCCAUCUCCCCGUCGGUGGCCAGGCUGUGGCCAUAUGGCCUGGUGGCCAGACCUUUGCUGUUCACUGCAACUCUGGAAGAGCUCAGGAAGCACACUUCAUACAGGUCCCAUAUUUCAUGGAUGAGGAGUGUGAGGCCCAGAGACUGACAGGAAGCUUGGAGUAAAACUGCAAUAGGACAGUUGUCUCCUGUCCCCUAAAACAGUGUUUGCUCCAUGCCGCACUGAUCUGUGUGCUGGAGCAGAUGUAAUUGAAAACAUGGUGGAGAGAAAGGAGUUCUAACUCAUAACACAAAACCUCUGAGAUACCUAAGGAUACCUAACAACAACAACAACACCACCACCACCACAACAACAAAAUGCACAAGAAUAACCAGAAAACACUGAAGACAAACAAUGAGUAGGACUUGCUGUAUCAGAAACCAACAUAAUGAAAGAAGGCAAAGAGAGCAGAGAAAGCGGUGCAGGAAUGCAGACUGCAUCAGAGGGUACAUCACACGCCAUUCAGGGACACUGCAAGAGAAGAUCAGGACAACUGAUUUGUCAGAUGGGAACUCCUGAGUGUAGCUAUAAUGGGCAGGACAGUUAGCAAUUAAAGAGAGGACUCCUUGUCUGCAGCUGGACUUAGACUGAGUUUCAGUUCUCAUGGGUGUAUGGGUCAUUUUCUUCUCAGAAUUAUGGCAGACUCAGAUACCUGUAAUAAUAUGGGAGCAUAAAAAGAACACUUGCAUGUCUGAGUGAUGAUAACUGUUGACC